UACAGAGGGGGCAAGCGUUAUUCGGAAUUAUUGGGCGUAAAGGGCGCGUAGGCGGCUUGGCAAGUGGGUGGUGAAAUCCCUCGGCUUAACCGAGGAACUGCCAUCCAGACUGCUUUGCUUGAGGCCGGGAGAGGUGAGUGGAAUUCCCAGUGUAGCGGUGAAAUGCGUAGAUAUUGGGAGGAACACCAGUGGCGAAGGCGGCUCACUGGUCCGGUACUGACGCUGAGGUGCGAAAGCGUGGGGAGCAAACAGG
rnacentral:rRNA from 1 species